UACGGAGGGGGCUAGCGUUGUUCGGAAUGACUGGGCGUAAAGCGCACGUAGGCGGUUUUUUAAGUCAGAUGUGAAAGCCCCGGGCUCAACCUGGGAAUUGCAUUUGAAACUGGGAAACUAGAGUGUGUGAGAGGGGGGUAGAAUUCCAAGUGUAGCGGUGAAAUGCGUAGAGAUUUGGAGGAAUACCAGUGGCGAAGGCGGCCCCCUGGCACAACACUGACGCUCAGGUGCGAAAGCGUGGGGAGCAAACAGG
rnacentral:rRNA from 1 species